GAUGGCAUACCAUUUGCAAAAGUACACAACCCAAGGUAUUGCAAGUGGGGUAUGUCCAGUCAUUUUUUAGUAGCCACUUAGUCACAAACACUGGCCAAAGUUAGUGUUCAUAUUUGUUUUUUUGCGUGAAAAAAGCAAAAAAACAUAUUUGGCCAGUGUUUGUGACUAAGUGGCUACUAAAAAUAACUGAACAUAUCCAUUUGCAAUACCUUGGGUUGUCUACUUUUGCAAAUGGUAUGCUAUC